rnacentral:lncRNA from 1 species
UGAACAACAUACUUGAUGUCCUACAUGAUUAAAUUAUUAACACUUUUAGUAUUUUGACAUCAUGAAAUAAAUCUUUAAAAAGAAAACAAAGAUAAUAAGUAUCAUGAAGUCAAUAAGUCAAAUCUUAAUUUGACCCGUUGUAGAUAGAAUACUACUGGGUUUGGGUUGGUUAACAGGUCCAAAUGGGUUAAUGGGUAAGCUUAUUAUAUGGGUUGAGCCACCGACACUCAUUGUCCUCUUUUCCUUUAAAUAUCAUAUUGAACAUGGUUAAAACGGAACUGAACACCGAUAGUCUAGAUAAAAAGGUUGAAAUUGGUAUCUCUAUUGUCUGUUUAAAACGCAACUCCAAUGGUAGAUAAAAUCAAACCUGUAUACGUGUUCCUAAAGCAAUAGCAUUUGAUGCUUCGUGGAUAAGGUCUGCAGCAUGCAUGCCAAAUAUAUGAACACCGAGGAUCUCUCCAUUAUCUGGUCUAUAUAUCAACUGCAGGCAAAAAGCAAAAGUAAGUAACCUUACGAUAAAACAAAAGGAAAAUAAAGUUCAUAAACAUAUUUGUAAUCAAUUACCUUAGCAAUCCCCUCUCCUUCAUUUUCAGCGAGGGCUUUAGUGUUAGCCUUAAAGCUAGUCUUGGCAAUACCGAUUUCAAAUCCUUCUUUCUCGGCUUUUUCUCUUGCUUGGGGCUGCAAGUUUGUAACUAAAACUGCUCAGAAAAGCUUUCUGAUGAUUACAGAAUAAACUACGCAACAAUUUUAUAGCUCGUAGGUUGAAAAAAUAGAUUCCCCAAUAAAAAAGAUAUGUUCUGCCCAAACGCAUAAAGAUUAUAAUUUCGUUUUGAGGGCGAAAGAUUAUUUAUUUUGUAUUAUAGGUUGCGUCUAAAUAUAAUACUAUAUUUCGUUAACUGUAACAGUGUAACAUACCUCAGUUAACCCAACCAUACUAAUUUCUGGAUGAGUAAAACAUGCAGCUGGGAUACUCAAAUGAUUUAGAACAUGGUCUUUUCCGGAAACUUGCUCAACAACUAUUUUACAAACACAAUUGUCAAAUCAGACAGGUGGCGAUAAAACGGUACCAACAUGCUGAUUAAAAGUAUAAACAAAAUGGUCACCUGAAAUGCCCUGAGCACUUGCUGCAUGGGCAAGCAUCAUUUUUCCAUUAGCAUCACCAAUGCAAUACAAGUGAGGGACCUAAUCAUCAAAAUUUAAGUCAAAGAAAUAUAAAAUAUUGAGUACAGCGUAUGCGAGUAGAAAGAGAUAACGUUAAGUAGUACCAAUUCGCCCUUUGAAUCAAUAACUCGCAUGCGUUCAUCAACGGGAAUAAAACCACGUUGUGCCCGCUUACAUUCUCUAAACCGAGCCCUUGUGUAAAUGGGGCCCUUCCAGUUGCAAUGAGAGCAGCAUCUACCUGUAACAAAAGACAAAGUACAAAGGAAAGUUUUAUAAAUAACGUAAUGGAAAUAAUUUGACUUGAGGAUGGUCAAACCAUCAAACCCACCUCCAAUGUAUCUUUUGGUUCCUUUGUCUUUGCAUCAAUAAGCUCGAUUAUUACAGGUUUGCCCUCCUUUGCUGGAGUGAUCUGUCAAUAAGUAAGGAAAACUUAACUCCGAUGAAUUGAAAAAAAAAACUAAAAAUAUGUGUAUAACAGAAGAUAUUAGGUGAGUAUGAACCUUGGUUGCGAAUACACCAGUAUGAUAGUCAAUCUUUCGAGGAUUUAUGAGAACUCUUUGAGCCAAUUUUCCAAUUUCAGGAUCGAAUCCAGGCAUUAACUGAUCUAAAGCUUCUACAAAUGUCACCUGUAAGACAAUCCAAAGCUUCAUCAUAUAAUUUCACCAUUACUGCAUAUCAUCUAUGCAAACAAAAAAUGUAUUAAACAGCAAAUAAGGUGUGGGUGUGUGGCAACAACUGAACCAGUGUCCUUUCUCCUAAAUUUAAUUGAUCAUUUGAUCAUGAGACAGUACUUAAUGAUUUACACACUAUGAAAAGAAAAGGUAAGAAGGCUUGAAAGUAAUUCAAAUUUUAUUUCACGACAAAUAUUAUAAUAAAGGAUUAGUACUGCCCACCUCACUUCCAAGUGCUGUAUAAACAUCACUGAACUCGAGACCAAUGUAACCACUUCCAACAAUAACUAUCCACUCUGGUACUGUCUCUAGUUUUAGUGCAUGAUCACUGGUUAUGACGGUCUUACCUGCAGGUAGCUGAUCAGUAACAAUUAUGAAGGUAUUAAAACAGUUAUAUUCUAGCUAAGAUUCACAUGCUAUUGCAAACAGAAAGCUAAGUUCCUAUAGAACCAAAAAGAUUCAGCUGAAACUUAUUGUAGCUCAUAUUACAGCUAGACGCUUUU